CGACGCGGCCGCCGCCGCUGCCCCAGGCGGAGGGCACGGAGGUUCCCACGCUCCGGCCCCCGGGCCGGGGGCGUUCUCAGGCCGGCGUGGCCGCGCUCGCCACCACCGCGGAGGCCAGGCUGUAAUUAGGGUAAUUGCGCGGCUCCGCGCCUAGGGCAAGUGCAGGACCCUGGCUGUGCAGCGCUGGUCCGAGAUGGGCAGGGACAGCGGGGGCUGGGAAUGUCGCAUCCUGGUCUUCCAGACAGGUUGCCUCUGCCUCUGCAGCUGUUUCAAGCUGUGUCUUCGUCUUGGACUUCCCUGCUGAGCCACACACCUCUGCUCUGCCAUCAUGGACUCUAGUCCUCCGAAGCCCUUUGGCUUUUCCAUUGAGAGGUCAGUAGCAUCUUUACCCUCACAGGUCUCAGCAUGAUCUCCCAGACGACCAGCUUCUCCCUCAGGCAUUCUCUGUCUUAGCUGAUGGCCAACCCCUUUCUACCUCAGCCACACAAACAUUUUUCUUAUCAAUCCUCAAACUCUCCCAGUAUCCAUUAGCCUCAAAAUUAUUUUUCUAAAAAUAUUUAUUUGUUUGUUCGUUUGUUUAUUUUUUGGGUGGUGUGUGUGUGUGUGUGUGUAUCUAUGUACCUUGUGUGUGCUUA
rnacentral:lncRNA from 1 species